UGAGAUGCUAACGGAUGGUGUGUGGGAGAGUAAUGUUUUAUGUUGGAGAAAGUGUGAAUAUCUCCAUUAUAGACAGGCUUAAUUGAUAAACAGGACAAUAAAAGCAGCAAAUGGCCCCAUAGAUUUCUGCCUACAGCACAGCCAGCAGUACUGUAGGAUGUCACUAUAUAUAAUGGGCAGUAAUGGCACUGACAAUAAUAGCAUAUUAAGUAGAGGCUUUAGAACAGUAUCAGAUAAUGUCAUCAUUGUGGAGAAAUAAAAGACUAAUAAAAUCCCUCUCAUAAAAGGGGGGUUAGGCGGCUCUUCCCUGAGGGAUCCCUCAAAUGUUUCUUUCUUCUCACACUUCUCUCACCUAAUCUCCCCCCCGCCCCACCUCCCUGUAAUUUACUCCCCCCUCCACCCUCCGUGAUAGGAAUACUGACAAUACAAGCGAUUGUCACAAAUAGCCACGUUUAAUUCUCACGCAUAAUGAGCGACAACUUCGCAGCCAUGGGGUUAAAAAAAAAAAAUGGGAAAGAGAGAAGCGGAGGAGCUGCUGCCACGCUCCCGUUUCUUGUCGUGAGGAAACAAUUCAUUAAGUGAUCGUUUUUUAAAUAGUGAUAAUAAAGUGAAGUGCCAUUUUAGACACGCCCGUUUCACAUCAGAUGGAGCACUUUUUGUAACGCAUUGAAAUCGGAAGAAAAAAAAUCUGGCCAAAGUGAGCUCACCACAAUAUCCGGAUCAGCGCUCGGUGUACGGAGAAUCCCGAGGAGUUUCCUGUGUCUUUCUUCACCCCAAGUUGAAGACAAGCGAUCGGAUUGCGGUCCCACAGUCCCGUCUCAACUGCAAAAAAAAAAAAAAAAAAAAAAGAAGGUAAGACCACACUGAGAGAAAAGCACGUCAAGCCCGGGGACGCGCACAUCCCGGGCAGGCAAUCGAAGUCAAUCCCCCCCUUUUGCAAACCCACCCACCCAAAAAGUACAUCAAUAAUUACACACGUUUAGCUCACUAAUCCGAGACUGUACCUUUUAAACGACACGGGAUGACCAGCAGAGAGUCAAAGAGACGGAAAAAAAGGAACCGGG
ensembl:lncRNA